GAAGAAGCAGCGAGAAGAGCCACGAAGGCAGUACAGAAGGCCCUCUCCUUCUAUAAAAGGGGAGCCAUGCCUCACAAGAAGGACACCAAGCAAUCUACAAGCACAAGCAUUCCACAAAGCAUAGAGCAGAGAGUUAGCCAAACUCCUUGCUCAGUAGUAGUAGUAGUAGUAGUAGUAGUAGUAGUAGUAGUAGUAGUAGUAGUAGUAGUAGUCCAACCACCACCUUGUAAUAAAUCCAUUAGUGUGAAGGCGAUUGUAAUAAUAAGGUACUAAGGUAAUUCCCCGUUCUUGUGUAAUCCCGUCGGGGGUUCCCGAAAGGGAAACCCGUAUGUAAAUUAUAUUGUGGAAAUGAAGUAGUUCUGUGUUU